UACGUAGGGUGCAAGCGUUAAUCGGAAUUACUGGGCGUAAAGCGUGCGCAGGCGGUUUUGUAAGUUUGUCGUGAAAUCCCCCGGGCUCAACCUGGGAAUGGCGAUGGAGACUGCAAGGCUAGAGUUUGGCAGAGGGGGGGUAGAAUUCCACGUGUAGCAGUGAAAUGCGUAGAUAUGUGGAGGAACACCGAUGGCGAAGGCAGCCCCCCUGGGUCAAAACUGACGCUCAUGCACGAAAGCGUGGGGAGCAAACGGG
rnacentral:rRNA from 1 species